rnacentral:rRNA from 1 species
CCCUUAGAUGUCCUGGGCCGCACGCGCGCUACACUGAGUGUCUGAGAUACGAGUCUGCCUGGUCCGGCAAGGUCUAGGUAAUCGCUAAAAGACACAUCAUGCUUGGGAUAGAUUAUUGCAAAUAUUAAUCUUGAACGAGGAAUUCCUAGUAAGCGCAAGUCAACAGCUUGCGUUGAUUACGUCCCUGCCCUUUGUACACACCGCCCGUCGCUACUACUGAUUGGAUGUUUAAGCGAGGUUCUCGAACCGCUAGCGACUUAGCUUCGGUGAGGUCGCAGUGUGGGAAGUGAACCUAGCUUUGGUGUCUAGAGGAAGUAAAAGUCGUAACA